rnacentral:lncRNA from 1 species
GUCGGACAAGGAAGGAGGGGAGACCAAGUGGGUGAGUCACUUCCCAUUAAUGGUAAAUUUUUAUCCAAAUGAAGCUAUCAUUUAAUUUCUUAUUCCCUCUAACCAAUUAAAUUAGCCAAACAUUAGCCAGUUUAUUUCUUUCAUCUUCAUUUCCUAAGACUAGUAAGAAAAGAGAAAAAAGAAAAGCAAGAGGGAGCUUGAAUUCGGCGAGAAGAAAACUUUGAUUUUGAUCAUCUAGCCAAGAUCAAGAAGAAGAUGAUUAAGAAAGGUAAGACCCCUAACUACUUCUUCCUAUUCAUUUUUUCUUUUAAAAACUUUCUAGUAUGUUAGGAAGUGUUUUGUUAAUUGAUGUGUUUUAAUGAAAUAUCAUGGUGAUAGAAAUAUCAAAGCCAAUCAAUGCCGGGAACAAAGCCAACUGACUCAGAAGAAACAAUUUUAGUUCCUUAAUUAGUGCAACAUAUAUGUUCAAAUAUUCUAUUCAUAUUUGUCUGUAAUCUUUUCUAGUUUAGAUGAUUCUGAGCAUCAUUGGUGAAUAUAUAUAUAUAUAUAUAUAUAUAUAUAUAUAUACACACACAUGUAAUUGUACCAUUAUAGGGUGUGGAAUAUAACAUAAUUUUUCCAUCUUCUCUCCUCUGUUCAUGAUAUCAGAGCUACGAUCCAAAAGCCUUCUCUACAAUUCACUAAUCCCCAAUUCCUAAUCUUCUGUGACGUCCCUAAAAUGGGGUCCACACAACUCAAUUUGAAUCGCCAAAAUAUAAUAUACCAAAACAAUACGUUCUCUUAAUAUAGUGUCGUAGAUAAUACGACAAUAUCCACACUCAAAUUAUUACAAUGUUGUAUAAGAUACGAAAACACAUACUAUAAGUCCUCAACAUGAUUACUGUCACAACAUUUAACAAUAUGGUGAAGACAACUAUAGAAACUAUUUCGGACCAUCACUCUACACCCAGGCUAGUCCCAGCUACACUAUCAUUUUCUGAGAAGAACAAUGUAAUAAAAAGAAAAAGGGUGAGCUCAAAUAGCCCAGUAAAAAAUAUUGUAAUACCCGUGAAUUUAAAUUGUAAUAGCCCAGUAAACAAUAUUAAUAUUGAAACUAACUUGUUUGGAUAUUUAUGUUGAAAUACAUAUAUAAUUAUGUGUGUCUUGGAAAGUAAUAAUUCAAUUCAAAUUGAGUGAAACAUGUAACAAGUAUGUGAUGUGGUGGAAUUAAUAAAAAAACUUAUAUUAAGCUUAUGUGAUAUGUCUAGUGUGGCAAAGUGAUGAAAUAAGUAAUUGUUUAAUUAAAUUAAUAAAAGAAUGAUUUAAUAAUGUGAUAGAUUAAUUAGUAUUAUUUUAUUAAUUGUUAUGUGCAAUUACAUGUGUGGUGUAAGAAUAUAAAUAAUUCAUAAGGUUGCUUCAUGCAUAAAUAUAAUAUGAGAUGUUAAGAAUAAUAUUAUAAUAUGUGAAUAGUUGUUAUAUAAGACCAUAUGAUAAAAGUAAGCUUUAAUUAUGUACAUUACUAAGUCAUAUAAAUGAGUCUUGUGUGGCAUUAUAGUACAUAGUGAGUUAAUUAAAUGUGUAUCUUAAGAAUUAUGGAAGAAAGUUAAUUUUUGGAAAAUAAAUAUUUAAUAUUAAUUAUCAUUAUAAUAUUUGGGUGUAUUGGAAAUAAUAAUUUUUAUGUAAUAUAAUGGAUUGUUGGUACCCAACUGAAUUAUAUUUUAACCCAAUUUAAAUAUUAUUGAGACUAACCCAAUAUAUAUGGAUUAUAUGAGUAGGUGUAUGUGUGACCCUAACUUAGUAUAAGGUAAUAAUAAUAACACAUUAAAUUUGACUUUGUGAGUCCAAAAAGAAAGUAACCUUAGUGUAUGAGGUCCACUUUACUGAUAAAUAAGAGAGUAAUAAGUUUUAUCCCAAAAUCAGUGUCAGACUUCAUUAAUCAGCCGUAAUAAGCCAUUGGCCUAUCCUAUUUCAUUGUUACUGAUAAGUAGCUUGUUAAUGAUAGCUAUAAGAAUGCAGGGGAAGGAGCAGGUAACUGCUUUUCACCAAACCUUCUCAAUCCAAUGGCAUCUUCUAUAUUCCAUUGGUUUGAUUCAAUGUGCAAGACCCAAAUUUCGGUAAUAAAUUCUCUAUAAAUAACAAUCCUUCUAUUCUAAACUGAAUUUGCUAGAUUGUCUGAUAAGUUCCAUAUAGAGAGUAUAUUGUAAAUUGAGUGAGGUUGUUGAAUUGAGGUGUAAUCAGAAGUUUGAGGAAUAAAAGUUAACAAUUCAAGCUUCAAGAGGUAACAUUACUACUAAGCAUGUUCUUAAGUUUAAGUUUUACAAAUCUUAGAAUCUUCAUGAAUCAUCUAUUAAUUGUAUUGGAAAUUAGUAUCUUAAUGUUAACUGAGUUUAUAUGAAUGCUUGAAAGCAAUGUAGUUGGUUUAAGCUUGUUGCUUUGAAGUAUUUCUUGUAUGGUUUCUGAGUUCUACAGAAGAAGAGCCGUUCCAGGAAUUGUCCAGGAAGGGUGCAGAUGCGCCUCUUCUGCAGUUCAAGACAGCACAGCUGCGCCUUCUGCUGUUUUUGAGACUGUCCUAAAGCAGUUUAGAUGCGCCGCUCCCACAGUACAGAACAGCGCAGCUGCGCCGUGCACUAGAACCUGAAACUGACUUUUUGUUGUAAUAUGAUAUCUCUAGCAUGUUAGUUUAAGGGGGGUGUAUUCAAUUAAGAUUUUUAAAGACUUUUUUAAGUGACAAACUUUUGUAGAAU